UUCCGGUUGAUCCUGGGGACCCCACUGCUAUCGGGGUGGGACUAAGACAUGCAAGUCGUACGCCUCCCAGCCGCCGGGGGAGGCGUGGCGCACGGCUCCGUAACACGUGGCUAACCUACCCUUGGGACGGGGAUAACCCCGGGAAACUGGGGCUAAUCCCCGAUAGGCGAGGAUGCCUGGAAUGGUUCCUCGCCGAAAGGGCACCGGAACCGUGCUUCCGGUGUCGCCCAAGGAUGGGGCCGCGGCCGAUCAGGUUGUUGGUGGGGUAACGGCCCACCAAGCCGAUAACCGGUACGGGCCGUGAGAGCGGGAGCCCGGAGAUGGGCACUGAGAUAAGGGCCCAGGCCCUACGGGGCGCAGCAGUCGCGAAACCUCCGCAAUGCGCGAAAGCGCGACGGGGCCACCCCGAGUGCCACCCGCUGAGGGUGGCUUUUCCCCGGUGUAGAUAGCCGGGGGAAUAAGGGGAGGGCAAGUCUGGUGUCAGCCGCCGCGGUAAUACCAGCUCCCCGAGUGGUGGGGACGAUCAUUGGGCCUAAAGCGUCCGUAGCCGGCCCGGCAAGUCUCCCGUUAAAUCCAGCGAUCUAAUCGCUGGACUGCGGGAGAUACUGUCGGGCUAGGGGGCGGGAGAGGCCGGCGGUAUUCCCGGGGUAGGGGUGAAAUCCUAUAAUCCCGGGAGGACCACCAGUGGCGAAGGCUGCCGGCUGGAACGCGCCCGACGGUGAGGGACGAAGCCCAGGGGCGCAAACCGGAUUAGAUACCCGGGUAGUCCUGGGUGUAAACGCUGCCCGCUUGAUGUUGGGCAAGCUCCGGGCUUGCCCAGUGUCGGAGCGAAGGUGUUAAGCGGGCUGCCUGGGGAGUACGGCCGCAAGGCUGAAACUUAAAGGAAUUGGCGGGGGAGCACUGCAACGGGUGGAGCGUGCGGUUUAAUUGGAUCAACGCCGGAAAU
rnacentral:rRNA from 1 species